rnacentral:lncRNA from 1 species
GUAUUUAAUUUCCUGAGAUUUGAAGGAUUUGCUGGGAGGAAUUCUCCGUGGCUACUCUAUGCCCUUUCACAAGAGCCUGUGGUUUCCCCAGCACUCCCUGGUUCCCCAACAUUGCUGUUUUUCAGUCCCAGGGGAGCGGCUGGAGUUUUUAAGUUCUGAGCUCUGUUUGGGCCCAAGUCCAAUAGGUCACAAAAGGCUCAGUCUAAAAAAAAGAAAUGUCC